GGCCCCAUCGUCUAGUGGCCUAGGACGGUAGGUUCUCAUCCUACUAACAGCGGUUCAAAUCCGCUUGGGGUCA
rnacentral:tRNA from 1 species